CACGCCUAGCUAAUCUUGCAUUUUCAGUGGAGACAGGGUUUCAACAUGUUGGUCAGGCUGGUCUCAAACUCCUGACCUCAAGUGAUUCAGCCGCCUCGCCUCCCAAAGUGCUGGGAUUACAGGUGUGAGGCACCACAUCCGACCUCUGCUCUUCCUCAAAGGCCACCAAAUCAUGCCAGCUAACUGUGCAAAGAUGUUAGCCUGAUAGUCAAAGCUCUUCCCAGACUCUUAUAAACAUAGAAGAACAUAGCGGUUAAGAACAUGAGCUCUGCAGCAGGAUUACACGGAUUCCAAUCUCAGCUCAGCCACAUACUAGCUGUGUGAUGUUGGAUGAGAACAUUGAGGCCUAGGGCAUUUCAAUAGCUUGCCAAAGGGCUCAUCAUUCUCGGGUAACAGGAUGAGGCCAGACACCAAGGAUCCCUGGAUCCAUGCCCUACUCUCCACACUUGUCUUGGGUCUAUGAAGCCCCCAGUCCCAAGGUAAGUCAUGUCAUUGUGGAAAUUAAUUGCAACCUUUCAUGAUUGUCCGAUCCCAUCUAUGGGUUUCAAGGAAGAUUAUGAAGUCCUUAGAACCACAAUGUGUCUAAUUUUUAUUCUGUAUUUUAUUUAUUUUUAAAUGUCUGAGAUGCUGAGAACCUGAGAUAUCACUCAUCUCAUCUUCCUGAAUUUUAUGAACUAAGAAGCGAAAGCUCACCCAAAGCCAUUUAUAGAGUCUAUGGAAAAAGAAGGACUAGACCCUGGAUUCCGUGAUUUACAGAGAUAUAAAGGGUGGCUGGUGCCAUUCUUCCAAAAGGAAAGCUGUCAUCUUUACUCACUCAGUCCUCAGCAAACUAUCUGAGCACUAUUUUUGUGCCUCAUCUGGGAGCUGGGGAGUCAGUGAUGGGCAAGAUAUGGUCUUUACUUGCAAAAUUCCCAUAGCACAUUGGAGAAGAAAAAACAGCAAUCAGGUAUGUGCGCUACAGGGGGGUGCAUGCUGCAACCACCAGCAUCAACAACAACAUGCAUUGAAUGCUUCAUGUAUAUCAAGUGCUCUCUCUCCUAAGAGAUAUGAAUGCAUUAACCCCAUUUACUCCUCAAGACUAGAAACAAACACUUUAUAAUUUGCUACGGACUGAAAAUUUGUGUCCCCCUAAAAUGUAUAUGUGGAAGUCUUAAUCCCCAAUGUGAUGAUAUUUGGAGGCGGGGCCUUGGGACAUAAUUGGGGUAGGGUGAGGUCAUGAGGGUGAAAACCCCAUACUGGGAUUGGUGCCCUUAGAAAGGUAUAAAGGGACUGGAGCAUGCAGUUUCUCUCUCUCUCUCUCUCUGUUUCUCUCUCUCUCUCUCUCCCUCCGCCGUAUGAGCACGCAGCAAGAAAGCGGCUGUGUGGCAACCAGGAAGACAGCCUUUAUCAGAAUCCAGCCAUAUUGGUGCCCUGAUCUCAGACUUUCCAGCCUCCAGAACUAUUUUAUUCCAGUAUCAGCCAACAACGUGAUCUGACAGGACAGUCCCAGCCCUAGGAAAUGAACUAUGAUUCGUGCAGACCGAUCGAAGUCAUACCAUACAGCGAUGGAUUUGGGCAUGUGGGCCAGUUGGGAUCAAGGGAAAGGAAGCAUUUCCAUUUUGAUCAAUGGGGGGAUUCUGGGAAAGUCUUCUGCCCGUAAAAAGAAACAAGCCAGGAAAAACGUCCCCUUCCUCCCUGUAGACAUGGCUAUGAACGGCAGGAUGCCUGAAACUGUCCAGGCUUGUUAUGAUGGAGAGACACACUGCACAGGGUGGGGGAAAGGGGAAAUAUACCCUAAGAAUGGUAGACCAGAAAGAUGUAAAGCAUCUGUAUCCUUGUUGAAAUUAUAGUGCCUCCCAAUUAACAUACCUAGAACUGUUUACCUCUGGACAUUUCAUUAUGUGAGAUAUUAAAGACCUGUGUAUUUGAA
rnacentral:lncRNA from 1 species